rnacentral:rRNA from 1 species
ACUCAAAGGAAUUGACGGGGGCCCGCACAAGCAGCGGAGCAUGUGGUUUAAUUCGAAGCAACGCGAAGAACCUUACCAGGUCUUGACAUCGAUCUAAUCCCGUAGAGAUAUGGGGUGCCUUCGGGCAAGAGAAGACAGGUGGUGCAUGGUUGUCGUCAGCUCGUGUCGUGAGAUGUUGGGUUAAGUCCCGCAACGAGCGCAACCCUUAUGAUCAGUUACUAACGCGUAGAGGCGAGGACUCUGAUGAGACUGCCGGGGACAACUCGGAGGAAGGUGGGGACGACGUCAAAUCAUCAUGCCCCUUAUGACCUGGGCUACACACGUGCUACAAUGGUGGUAACAAAGAGGAGCGAGCUCGCAAGAGUAAGCGGAUCUCAAAAAAGCCAUCCCAGUUCGGACUGUGGGCUGCAACCCGCCCACACGAAGUUGGAGUUGCUAGUAAUCGCGAAUCAGCAUGUCGCGGUGAAUACGUUCCCGGGCCUUGUACACACCGCCCGU